AUUGAACGCUGGCGGCAGGCCUAACACAUGCAAGUCGAACGAGUGGCGGACGGGUGAGUAAUGUCUGGGAAACUGCCUGAUGGAGGGGGAUAACUACUGGAACCGGUAGCUAAUACCGCAUACCAUCGGAUGUGCCCAGAUGGGAUUAGCUAGUGGGUGGGGUAACGGCUAACCUAGGCGAAGAUCCCUAGCUGGUCUGAGAGGCGGACCAGCCACACUGGAACUGAGACACGGUCCAGACGCCUACGGGAGGCAGCAGUGGGGAAUAUUGCACAAUGGGCGCAAGCCUGAUGCAGCCAUGCCGCGUGUAUGAAGAAGGCCUUCGGGUUGUAAAGUACUUUCAGCGGGGAGGCGGUACCCGCAGAAGAAGCACCGGCUAACUCCGUGCCAGCAGCCGCGGUAAUAC
rnacentral:rRNA from 1 species